UACAAAACUUUUUAUUUUUACAUUUUACAGAUAUUUGCUGCUUAAAAUCCCACGUUCUCUGACCGUCAUAAAUUCUUCUGGUGCAAAGUACUGUCGGCAAGCUCAGAGACUAAUAAGGCACUAAUAAGCUGAAGCUUUCCCAAAAGGACCUCAUCUAAUGCUGAGGAAGAUGAAGGGCUCCUACACACAAAGAGAAUAAGGACAGAAGUGAAUUCUGAAAGCCUCAAAGAAAGCAAUGAUUCACACACUUCUGCAUCGAUUCUUAUCCGCUUCCAAAGGGCAGAUGUUACACAAAGAGACUCUUGUAUGUCCUUAUAUUUAAUAUGCUGGAGCCGUGGAGUAAAAGGAGACCCCAACACCCAUAGCCAAGUGUCUGCAGAAAACACAGCAUUUAAUCAACAACAGGGUCGGACUGGGCCUGGGGGACACUGGGAAAAAACUUGGUGUGCCCCGCCGGUCCAGACUCGCUAUUACAAAAGACGAUUGUACACUCCAAUGAAGAAAAAAAUGUAUUAUA